rnacentral:lncRNA from 1 species
ACAGCUUAAAUAUUAUAAUAAAAUACAACACUUACAAAUUAAAUUAUAUCUAAUUUGACUUUAGAUAUGUGUCCCAUAUCUUCUUAAUGGUUUCCUGAAGACUUCUGAGUUGCAGCUACUAAUGGCAGUUCAGAUCAACUGGUAUUAAAUCACAAGUAUAAAAAAGCAUGGGAAAAAUAGCCACCAAUUGAAUUUCUUAACUAGUUACUCCUGAUUGACCUCACAUUCUCCUGCUUGAACUGCUGUUUCUCAGGUGGAACACAGAAAAAACAGAUAAGGAGGACACACAGUGUACAAAUACUGGGAAUCCCAGAGGGGGAGGAAGGUAAGAAGCUACCAUAUAUCCUACAUUAUGCUACAAAGAACAACUCACUGUAUAUUGAGAGCUUAUCAUGUUGCUGUGAAAAGGGCACCAUAGGAGACCAGCAACUGCAGAACUACUCUCCUAAAGUUAAUGGACUUGGGGGGUCAAGGGAAGAGUAUUUUUGUCUGCACAAAGCAUCAAGGACAUUUAGUUUAAUAAGUGGCAAAUUUUGAUUUUUUUUUUCCCAGUGCUGGGCCCUGCACUCAGCAAAAUUGUGCUCUUCAGUGCCCAGAAAACAUGCUUUCCAAG